GACGAACGCUGGCGGCGUGCUUAACACAUGCAAGUCGAACGGAAAGGCCCUGCUUUUGUGGGGUGCUCGAGUGGCGAACGGGUGAGUAACACGUGAGUAACCUGCCCUUGACUUUGGGAUAACUUCAGGAAACUGGGGCUAAUACCGGAUAGGAGCUCCUGCUGCAUGGUGGGGGUUGGAAAGUUUCGGCGGUUGGGGAUGGACUCGCGGCUUAUCAGCUUGUUGGUGGGGUAGUGGCUUACCAAGGCUUUGACGGGUAGCCGGCCUGAGAGGGUGACCGGCGACAUUGGGACUGAGAUACGGCCCAGACUCCUACGGGAGGCAGCAGUGGGGAAUAUUGCACAAUGGGCGGAAGCCUGAUGCAGCAACGCCGCGUGCGGGAUGACGGCCUUCGGGUUGUAAACCGCUUUCGCCUGUGACGAAGCGUGAGUGACGGUAAUGGAUAAAGAAGCACCGGCUAACUACGUG
rnacentral:rRNA from 1 species